UGUAUGUAAGAGCAUGGCCACAAACACAGAUUGGUGGGAUCGCCUUGUCAUGUGGACCUUGGAUGAUCAGCAGUGGCUCCAAAACUUUUGCAUGAUGAAGCAGACAUUCCUGGAGGUUUGUUAUCAGCUUGUCCUGACCCUUUAGUGCCAGGAAACACAAAUGAGGAAGGCUAUGCUGGUCCAGAAGCAGGUUGCUACAACUAUCUGAAAGCUGGCUACCUCUGACUGCUACAGAGUGCAGCACCUCAAGUUCCACUCUUCCACAGAGAGAACAAAAAACUGUUCUGAAAAGGAACUAUAACUUCCAGGAAGACAAUUAACCCAUUUCCAUAAAGCAUGCAAAGUACCAUCAUUAGUGUGCCAGCUUUUGAUUGGCUGCUGGCCUGCCACAUACUUGUUAUUAUUAAAGAAAUCAUUAUCAAA